rnacentral:snoRNA from 1 species
CCCCUCUCAGGGUCGCACCUGGAGAGUUUCCAGUACUCUACCAGUCUCGACUACAGAAGAGAAAGUCAAGCAGAGGCAGACCCAUUCUAUUCCUAGCUUGGUCAGUGGCUAGCGAGUGGAAGACAAUCUGCUACAAGU